UACAGAGGGGGCAAGCGUUAUUCGGAAUUAUUGGGCGUAAAGGGCGCGUAGGCGGCAUGGCAAGUGGAUGGUGAAAUCCCUCGGCUUAACCGAGGAACUGCCGUCCAAACUGCUUCGCUUGAGACCGGGAGAGGUGAGUGGAGUUCCCAGUGUAGCGGUGAAAUGCGUAGAUAUUGGGAGGAACACCAGUGGCGAAGGCGGCUCACUGGACCGGUACUGACGCUGAUGCGCGAAAGCGUGGGGAGCAAACGGG
rnacentral:rRNA from 1 species